rnacentral:rRNA from 1 species
AAUAUUGGACAAUGGGCGCAAGCCUGAUCCAGCCAUGCCGCGUGAGUGAUGAAGGCCUNAGGGUUNUNAAGCUCUUUCAGCGGGGNAGAUAAUGACGGUAUCCACAGAAGAAGCCCCGGCUAACUUCGUGCCCGCAGCCGCGGUAAUACGAAGGGGGCUAGCGUUGUUCGGACUUACUGGGCGUAAAGAGCACGUAGGCGGAUGGGUCAGUUAGGGGUGAAAUCCCGGAGCUCAACUCCGGAACUGCAUUUAAUACUGCCAGUCUAGAGACCGAGAGAGGUGAGUGGAACUCCUAGUGUAGAGGUGGAAUUCGUAGAUAUUAGGAAGAACACCAGUGGCGAAGGCGGCUCACUGGCUCGGUACUGACGCUGAGGUGCGAAAGCGUGGGGAGCAAAC